rnacentral:sRNA from 1 species
AGCUGUUCCCCUCUGGAGGUUUAUAACCUUCAUACCUUAAGGGCCGCGGUUCUCCGUUGGCCCUUUUUUUCUGCGUUU